rnacentral:rRNA from 1 species
UACGUAGGGUCCGAGCGUUGUCCGGAAUUAUUGGGCGUAAAGGGCUCGUAGGCGGUUCGUCACGUCGGGAGUGAAAACUCGGAGCUUAACUCCGAGCCUGCUUCCGAUACGGGCAGACUAGAGGUAGGCAGGGGAGAGCGGAACUCCUGGUGUAGCGGUGGAAUGCGCAGAUAUCGGGAAGAACACCCGUGGCGAAGGCGGCUCUCUGGGACG